GAGUUUGAUCGUGGCUCAGAAUGAACGUUGGCGGCGCGCCUAACACAUGCAAGUCGCGCGAGAAAGGGCUUCGGCCCCAGUAAAGACGGCGCACGGGUGAGUAACACGUAGGUCAUCUCCCCUCGAAUGGUGGAUAACUCUCCGAAAGGAAAGCUAAUACAGCAUAAGACCACGACCUCGCUGAGGUUGCGGCCAAAGACAGACCUCUUCAUGAAAGUUUGCGUUUAGGGAUGAGCCUGCGGCCCAUCAGCUAGUUGGUAGGGUAACGGCCUACCAAGGCGAAGACGGGUAGCUGGUCUGAGAGGAUGAACAGCCACACUGGAACUGAGACACGGUCCAGACUCCUACGGGAGGCAGCAGUGGGGAAUCUUGCGCAAUGGGCGAAAGCCUGACGCAGCGACGCCGCGUGAGCGAUGAAGGCCUUCGGUUGUAAGCUCUGUGGGGAGGGAAGG
rnacentral:rRNA from 1 species